rnacentral:rRNA from 1 species
AUUGAACGCUGGCGGCAUGCUUUACACAUGCAAGUCGAACGGUAACAGGGAGCUUGCUCCGCUGACGAGUGGCGAACGGGUGAGUAAUAUAUCGGAACGUGCCCAAGAGUGGGGGAUAACGUAGCGAAAGUUACGCUAAUACCGCAUACGAUCCAAGGAUGAAAGCAGGGGACCUUCGGGCCUUGUGCUCCUGGAGCGGCCGAUAUCUGAUUAGCUAGUUGGUGAGGUAAAGGCUCACCAAGGCGACGAUCAGUAGCUGGUCUGAGAGGACGACCAGCCAAACUGGAACUGCGACCAGGUCCAGACUCCUACGGAAGGAAGCAGUGGGGAAUUUUGGACAAUGGGGGCAACCCUGAUCCAGCAAUGCCGCGUGAGUGAAGAAGGCCUUCGGGUUGGAAAGCUCUUUUGUCAGGGAAGAAAAGGGUACGGCUAAUAUCCGUGCCUCAUGACGGUACCUGAAGAAUAAGCACCGGCUAACUACGUGCCAGCCGCCGCCGUAA